CGGGGAGUAGCGCAGCCUGGUAGCGCAUCUGCUUUGGGAGCAGAGGGUCGCAGGUUCAAAUCCUGUCUCCCCGACCA
rnacentral:tRNA from 1 species